UACGAAGGACCCGAGCGUUAUCCGGAUUUAUUGGGUUUAAAGGGUGCGUAGGCGGAUUAGUAAGUCAGUGGUGAAAGCCCAUCGCUUAACGAUGGAACUGCCGUUGAUACUGCUAGUCUUGAGUAUGGUUGAGGUGGGCGGAAUGUGUCAUGUAGCGGUGAAAUGCUUAGAUAUGACACAGAACACAAAUUGCGAAGGCAGCUCGCUAAACCAUAACUGACGCUGAGGCACGAAAGCGUGGGGAGCAAACAGG
rnacentral:rRNA from 1 species